rnacentral:rRNA from 1 species
UACAGGGGGGGCAAGCGUUGUUCGGAUUUACUGGGCGUAAAGGGCGCGUAGGCGGUCAGCACAAGUCAGUUGUGAAAUCUCCGGGCUUAACUCGGAAAGGUCAACUGAUACUGUGCGACUAGAGUGCAGAAGGGGCAACUGGAAUUCUCGGUGUAGCGGUGAAAUGCGUAGAUAUCGAGAGGGACACCUGCGGCGAAGGCGGGUUGCUGGGCUGACACUGACGCUGAGGCGCGAAAGCCAGGGGAGCGAACGGG